AUUUCUUCCUUCUUCACAGCUAAGCGACACUCCAGGGCAUUUCUUAAGGACUCCCUCAAUUUUUUAGAUAUUUUAUAUGUAUUUUGUGGUUCUUUUUUGCUAUUAUUUUUCUUGAUACUUUUUUUUUGGUAAAAUAUCCUAUCUGGGAAAAGGAAAAGCUCACAUACUGGAAAAGAAGAUAUAGAAGAAGGUAACCAUUAGUUUGGGUGUGAAGCCUUUCUUGUCUUCUUAACCUCCAGAAAGCAUAUCUCUAGGUGUGGGUGCCACACCAGCAGGUUAAAACGGAGUGCUGAUUAUGGCCUGUUCAGGGUUUGACUCCUGAGGGAUGCUGAGUCAUGCUCAGCAGGUGGAGCUGCUAUGACUGAAGUGUACACUCCCCCACUUCACUCACAACCCCCACCAUCCAUCCCCCAUCCCCUCAGCGAACCCUGUUGAACUCGAUGCAGGCUGACCUAGACAGGAGGGGCCCCCAGAGGGUGAGAGGGUGGGGGAAUUCUACUCUUAAUUCCUGCCACUAACAAUCUCUCACAACUCUGUUGAAAACAAAGACACUACUACAGUACUUUUACCAAACUGCUAUUAUAAGUUGGUCUGCUUUCAACUGUUUUUUAAUCUGAUAUCUUGUGUGUGUGUGUGAGAGAGAGAGAUGUCAGAAGUAUUCAGGGGCUAAAUAAAAACUUUGUGUAGGUGUUUUGUGCUCAUAAAAAGUGAGAGAUAUGUUACUUUAUGUUUCACUCACAUACUACCUGAAAUUUUCUAUUUUUUUGAGCCUGCUUUAAAGUUAUUUGACUUCUUACAGAGUAUACUAGAUGGGGCUCGAGAGGUGUACAAUUGCUUUAGUCAAACAGCAUUGUCGUGUGUUUUGACAAAACAUGACAAUUUUUAGUUUACACACAAAUUCAGGAACUUAGAAAGAUAAUUAUUCAGAUUACAUCAUCUAGAUACAAAUGGAUGAAUUACUGUAUAUAAGAACUAUCUAAAUUAGAAUGAAUAUUGAAUAAAGAAUGAAUCAAGUGAUAUCUGAUUACACAUUUGUUUGAGGUUUUAAAGUUUUGUUUUGCUUUAUAUUUAGGUUCUAAAAUAAGGUUGGUCUUGAACUCUGAAUCUGUAAUGAGGAACAAUGAAUCAUACUGUAGUUUAGUUUAGUUUCUGGAGACUGACAAGUAGCAUGUUGGUUAAACUAAGGCUUCACAAACUAAUCCAAUAAUAUAUGCAAUCAGAUAUUUUGCCAAAUAUAAAUUGGAUGGAUUCUAACCUUUCUUGAUGAGUUCAACUUUAUGUGUAUGUUUUAUAUUGAAUUGAUUUGAUAACUGUCUUUGUAUUGGAAGCAGAAUACUGAUUAUUGAUGAGCUGUUACUGCUUAGGAUAAUGAGAUUGGCUAACAGUAUGACUGACAUUGUGAUGAUCUGUUUUUCAGUUGUUACUGUUAGAAUUAUUAAAACAGAAUUUUAAAGAUUUCUUUUAUGCCUAGUCUUGGUAUGUAUAAUAUGGCUUACAAUUAAUGCAAUAUUAAAUCAUAAAUUAAAUUAUGGUCCUUGAUUUUC